GUGUCAGCCGCCGCGGUAAUACGUAGGGUGCGAGCGUUAAUCGGAAUUACUGGGCGUAAAGCGUGCGCAGGCGGUGAUGUAAGACAGAUGUGAAAUCCCCGGGCUCAACCUGGGAACUGCCUUUGUUACUGCAUCGCUGGAGUUCGGCAGAGGGGGCUGGAAUUCCGCGUGUAGCAGUGAAAUGCGUAGAUAUGCGGAGGAACACCGAUGGCGAAGGCAAUCCCCUGGGCCUGCACUGACGCUCAUGCACGAAAGCGUGGGGAGCAAACAGGAUUAGAAACCCCGGUAGUCC
rnacentral:rRNA from 1 species